GUUUAAUUUACAUUUUAUUAAUUUACAUUACAUAAUAGUUCCUGUUGGUCAUUGCUACUGUUGCUAGUUUAAAAUACCUUUGAUGUUCUAAAGAAGAAAUCUGAUGUAAACACAUCCAGAGUCUAAUCUUGCUUUAUGUUUAGAGACCAUGCUUAGGAAAGGGGAUGUAGUACAUUGAUAUGUGUGACAUCACCAAUUGUACGUGAUUACGUGACCUCCCUAACAAGCCCCGUCUCUCCCCCUCACUCUGGAGGUGGUGUGAUGUGUACGUGCGGUCAAUAAACCCACAGAUUAUAAAGCAGUGCUCUUUGCCAGUUCAUUUAUAACACACGAGUCAACAGAAACCAUAUCGGUGAGUACUGGAGUCAGUAUCCUGAAUCUCCAUGUUGGUACACCUAUAAUAAGUGUUUAUUAUCGGACUAUUUUAGUCCGGCGGGUCGACGCCGCUGUGGAGUAGCACAGGACCUAGGUGACUCGUCCAUAGUCAUAAACCGAGAGAAGUAACGACAGUUAAAAUUUUCUUCCGCAAGACGCAUGCAGUUCUGUUUCUUAACUGCUAGAGCGUGAAACAAAAUCAGAAGCGCGACAAAUAAACUGCGUACCUGUGUAGUGCGUACGUGUGUCUCUGUUGUUAAAGUUUAUCUUUAAUUUGAUACUCAUUUUAAAAAUCGAGAGUCACGUAAACAUGAUGUCACGUGCGCCUUUUCUGGUCAGUCGUCAUGGAAACAUGAAGCCCUGGCGUCUUGAGUGAAAACAAACCAACAAGUCCUCCAACUCAUACGACCGUAUGGGUCGUUUGUCACUAUCCAUAAAUACGACCCACACGAGCGUUCUCUAAAUUAGCGCCCCUAUUGGCAACAGGAGGUAUGAUAAAUGAACUUUCGCCUAAAUGCAUUGUGGGUUUAUUUUAACAUGUUUGCUAUUUGCGUUUUGAAUUGUUUGAUUUAAACUCUCCCAGAUGUUCGUGGAUUUUGAUGAUAUGGAUUUUAGAUGACUUCGAGACAUGUACAGUUUUGCAGUUUCUUCAUAUCACAUACAUCUCCAGCUCCUACAACAACAUUCAGUGUCCAGCAGCUCUUUAUGAUGCUCUCUCUCUCUCUCUCUCUCUCUUUCUCUCUCUCUCUCUCUCUCUCUCUCUCUCUCUCUCUCUCUCAUUUUCCUUUCCUAUUUUUCUGAACUGUAAUUCAUAAAUAAGUCACACAUAUGUUUCUUUCUUUCUCUUGUUCAUCAUGGCAUAUUUUCACAGCUCAGAAUCAGAUUUUGAUCAGUUCUUGUAUUAACAGGGAACUUGUACUCGAAGCUCAACUUGAAGAAGUUUCCAGUGAAGAUGAAGUCCUUCAAAGGUUCGACACAGCUGAAAAGGAAGACCAUGGGCCUGUCAAACCUUGUUUGUGGAGAGGGAUGAAUUUGACCAUCUUGUGUGUUUACGGAGAAGACCAAAAGCUGCUAAGGCAGAUAUUUCCAGAGGUACAAACAGAGCGGAUGGUUGCAUGAUGGCCUCUUUCAGGUUUGUCAACUGAAUGUCUACUAGUGUGGCUCAGCAAGUUCCUGUCAUGAUCAGCCCUCUCCAAGAAAGCUGAAGAGCAAAAACACAAAGAACAUCAGUCCUGUUGGGGAUGAGGAAUGAACAUGGCUCUAUUGUGCCCAAACAGAAAAGAGUGAAAAGUCCUAGAAUGAACAAAUCAUCAGGGCAUCAUUUCUGGAAUUUGGGCAGAAAAUGACUGAAUAUGAAAGACUGCAGUAGAAGGAAAGCUGGUACUGAGAACAUUUGUCUUCACUCCAGACUAAAGAGAAGCGGGUCUGAGGCCAGAGAUGGAGGAGUCAAUGGUCACCAAAUGCAGUGCUGCAGCCUGAAACAGUGAAGACUGAAUUCCCAAACAGCUGUGUGACUGCACAGAUGUUACGGCCAUAAAAGAAACUUCACAACUGAGAGCCCAUACCUCCAACAACCUUCAACAGGAAUCAAUGGACAUCUACGCAAGGUUUUUCUUUUGUUGAGGACCGUCAGAGACUCCAGCCACACGAGCCAUGGAUUGCUCUCAACAUCACCAUCAGACAGACAUUAUCACAGAACCAGCACCAGCAGACUGCAAAACAAGUUCCUUCAACAGGCAAUCAGACUGAACUGAACUCGUACCAGUAACACCACACACACACACACACACACACACACACACACACACACACAUACACACACCAGCAGCCUCAUACUGUGUGCACUGCACUCUAUCAGCUACACUGACUGGACUCUGACUCACUAUUAUUCUGCAACCUGAUAUUCUGUUUGCACUAAUUCAUACUGUACUGAAAGUGAAAGUGACGUGACAUACAGUCAAGUAUGGUGACCCAUACUCAGAAUUUGUGCUCUGCAUUUAACCCAUCCGAAGUGCACACACACAGAGCAGUGAACACACACACACUGUGAACACACACCCGGAGCAGUGGGCAGAGGUAUAUCUACAGUAUACAGUGAUUGUUGUUAAUUGUUUUCAUUUUGUUCUCUCUGUAUAGUAUAGUAUUGCACUAUAUUUUCUACCUGUAUUGAGCUCUUAUGUAUACGGUUUAUAUUUUUGAUACUGUAUAUGUGUUGCAAAUAUAUUCAGUACUUGUCAUGCUGCAGUUUGCAGAAAAGCAUUUUACCACCUGUAUACUUGCAUUAAAAACAUUGGUAUUGUGAUAAUAAAAUGAUUUGAUUUGAAUUGGUCACAUGACUUGUUCAUCAGUUGUAUUGUUGUGCUGGAUAACAAUUGCAAAUUGUUUAUGACAUUGAAGAAGAUCAUGAUAGAGACAUGGAUUUGAAGAAAACCAGGAGAGCUCUGAUGAUGAGAAGGAAACUGGAUGUGAUUCUUUGGUGCUCAAGACAUUUCACCAUGCCUUCAUCUGGGUUUCUUCAUCUGAUUAAAAUAAAAUGGUUUUAAUGUAACCCAUUUUUAUUUCACUUGAAUAUAAUUUGUCUUAAUAUGCUUCUUUAUCUGUCUUUAUGCUGCAUCCUAGUAAAAUAUUGCGUAUGGUGUUGGAUAAUCAAGUAUGGUGAAUAUUCUGUACUAGAGAUGGUUUUUUGGUAGAUACACCAUUUAAUUUUGUAAACAACACAUAUAAUCACCAUGGUUGUUUUGAUGAAGACAUGAACAUUUAGUAAUAUUAAUGAAAUUCAGUUAGAUGAAGAGCUGCAUUAGAAGAGACUGCAUGGACUUCAUGCACAACUGAAGGUGAUGAAUCAAGGAAAGAUCAACAUGAAUCCUGUUCUGUAUUAUAAUGAAGAUGUUCAUGCACAUUACUGAUGUCUAGCUCCUGAGCAGGACAAAGAUGAGACAUUCUUUACAGAGAUUUAUGAAUUAGGUAUUUUAUAUUAUGAUUCUUUAAAUUGCAUGAAUUGUAUGGAACCAUAAACUGCACACUGUCACACAUUGUCUUACUGAAUGACACAUUGGCCUUGUCUGAUGAAAUGUCAGAAUAUGUAUUUGUUGUCUUUGUUUACUAUUAGCACUGUAUUAUUGCUCUUGAUCUUAUGAAAUAAAUUGAGCUCUUUCCAAAUGGGCACUUAUGUUGA